rnacentral:rRNA from 1 species
UACGUAGGUGGCGAGCGUUAUCCGGAAUGAUUGGGCGUAAAGGGUGCGUAGGCGGCCUGCUAAGUCUGGAGUGAAAGGUACCGGCUCAACCGGUACAGGCUCUGGAAACUGGCGGGCUAGAGAGCAGGAGAGGGCGGUGGAACUCCAUGUGUAGCGGUAAAAUGCGUAGAUAUAUGGAAGAACACCAGUGGCGAAGGCGGCGAUCUGGGGUGCAACUGACGCUCAGUCCCGAAAGCGUGGGGAGCAAAUAGG